AGCUUUUGGAAACACAGUGGUGUUUACAACUAAUUGAUUACAACCAGUUACAGAUUCCUUCUCCACUCCCACUGCUUCACUUGACUAGCUUUAA
rnacentral:sRNA from 1 species